GAUCACAUGUGCUGUCGCCUCCACCGUUGUUGCCAGAAGCGCGCCACACGUUCAGUGCGUGGAUACAAAUAAGUUGCUAAAUUGGAAAAGACGAAUUUGUACCUGUUUAUCUGGGUCUCCAAAACUCAACUGAAGCAGUCCAAAAAGAACCACCGGAACAAGCCACUGUUUCUCUCGGCUCCCCAUGAUAGAGGAGACUUCUGAAUCCUUUCCCCAGGUACGUUUUAAGUAAAA